UACGUAGGGCGCAAGCGUUAUCCGGAAUUAUUGGGCGUAAAGCGUGCGCAGGCGGUCUGUUAAGACAGAUGUGAAAUCCCCGGGCUUAACCUGGGAACUGCAUUUGUGACUGGCAGGCUAGAGUAUGGCAGAGGGGGGUAGAAUUCCACGUGUAGCAGUGAAAUGCGUAGAGAUGUGGAGGAACACCGAUGGCGAAGGCAGCCCCCUGGGUCAAGAUUGACGCUCAUGCACGAAAGCGUGGGGAGCAAACAGG
rnacentral:rRNA from 1 species